CGCGUAGGUGGUUUGUUAAGCGAGAUGUGAAAGCCCCGGGCUUAACCUGGGGACGGCAUUUCGAACUGGCAGGCUAGAGUGUGGUAGAGGGUAGUGGAAUUUCCUGUGUAGCGGUGAAAUGCGUAGAUAUAGGAAGGAACACCAGUGGCGAAGGCGGCUACCUGGACCAACACUGACACUGAGGUGCGAAAGCGUGGGGAGCAAACA
rnacentral:rRNA from 1 species